UAAGCGACUAAGCGUACACGGUGGAUGCCCUGGCAGUCAGAGGCGAUGAAGGACGUGCUAAUCUGCGAUAAGCGUCGGUGAGGUGAUAUGAACCGUUAUAACCGGCGAUUUCCGAAUGGGGAAACCCAGUGUGUUUCGACACACUAUCAUUAACUGAAUCCAUAGGUUAAUGAGGCGAACCGGGGGAACUGAAACAUCUAAGUACCCCGAGGAAAAGAAAUCAACCGAGAUUCCCCCAGUAGCGGCGAGCGAACGGGGAGGAGCCCAGAGCCUGAAUCAGUGUGUGUGUUAGUGGAAGCGUCUGGAAAGGCGCGCGAUACAGGGUGACAGCCCCGUACACAAAAAUGCACAUAUUGUGAGCUCGAUGAGUAGGGCGGGACACGUGGUAUCCUGUCUGAAUAUGGGGGGACCAUCCUCCAAGGCUAAAUACUCCUGACUGACCGAUAGUGAACCAGUACCGUGAGGGAAAGGCGAAAAGAACCCCGGCGAGGGGAGUGAAAAAGAACCUGAAACCGUGUACGUACAAGCAGUGGGAGCCUCUUAAUGGGGUGACUGCGUACCUUUUGUAUAAUGGGUCAGCGACUUAUAUUCUGUAGCAAGGUUAACCGAAUAGGGGAGCCGAAGGGAAACCGAGUCUUAACUGGGCGUUAAGUUGCAGGGUAUAGACCCGAAACCCGGUGAUCUAGCCAUGGGCAGGUUGAAGGUUGGGUAACACUAACUGGAGGACCGAACCGACUAAUGUUGAAAAAUUAGCGGAUGACUUGUGGCUGGGGGUGAAAGGCCAAUCAAACCGGGAGAUAGCUGGUUCUCCCCGAAAGCUAUUUAGGUAGCGCCUCGUGAAUUCAUCUCCGGGGGUAGAGCACUGUUUCGGCAAGGGGGUCAUCCCGACUUACCAACCCGAUGCAAACUGCGAAUACCGGAGAAUGUUAUCACGGGAGACACACGGCGGGUGCUAACGUCCGUCGUGAAGAGGGAAACAACCCAGACCGCCAGCUAAGGUCCCAAAGUCAUGGUUAAGUGGGAAACGAUGUGGGAAGGCCCAGACAGCCAGGAUGUUGGCUUAGAAGCAGCCAUCAUUUAAAGAAAGCGUAAUAGCUCACUGGUCGAGUCGGCCUGCGCGGAAGAUGUAACGGGGCUAAACCAUG
rnacentral:rRNA from 1 species